GUAUCCGCACUCCUGUGAGAACGCCCCUAAACCCUCAUGGAAAAGGGAGCUGAUAUCAGGCUCAUUAUGCCCAAGACAUCUAGCUACGCCACACCCACAAGGGAAUUCAGCAGUGAUUAACAUUGAAAAUGAGCGACAGCUCGAUUUAGUUAAAGUUUAGAGAGCCGGCUAAUCUGGUGCCAGCCGCCGCGGUUACACCAAGAGGCUCAAGUUGACUUUAUUCGGCGUAAAGCGUGAUUAAAGCUAAAAUAUAUUAAAGUUAAACUAAAACUGAACCGUAGCACGUCUGUUUUUAGGAAGCCCACAAACGAAAGUUACUUUAACUUAAACAACUUGAAUUCACGACAACUAAGACACAAACUGGGAUUAGAUACCCCACUAUGCUUAGUCGUAAACUUUAAAUUACAUCAAUAUCGCCAGGGAACUACGAGCAAAGCUUAAAACCCAAAGGACUUGACGGUACCCCAUAUCCCCCUAGAGGAGCCUGUCCUGUAAUCGAUACCCCCCGCUUAACCUCACCAUUUUUAGCCUAUCAGCCUGUAUACCUCCGUCGUCAGCUUACCACGUGAGCGUUAUUUAGUAAGCUCAAAGUCUUUACAUCAACACGUCAGGUCAAGGUGCAGCAAAUAAAAUGGCAAGAGAUGGGCUACACUUUCUAAUCUAGAAAAUACGAAAGAUUAUAUAUGAAACCUAAUCAGAAGGCGGAUUUAGUAGUAAAAAGAAAUCAGAGUGUUCUUUUUAACUCGGCACUGGGGUGUGU
rnacentral:rRNA from 1 species